UUCCUGUUGGUUUCUAAGCGUGAUGAUUGGGUUCUCACACUCAUGUGUGACAUGCGCUUCCCUCAAAUCUGUGAUGAUGUCAGCACAUGACCCAUCUGAUG